CAGCUUCAAUAGCUCAUAUACUAAAAUUAGGACAAAACAGAGAAAACUACCAUGGCCCCUGCACAAAGAUAAAAUGUGAAUUUGUGGAGUGGUCAAUAUUUUU
ensembl:snRNA U6 U6 spliceosomal RNA